AGUCGUAACAAGGUAACCGUAGGUGAACCUGCGGUUGGAUCAUUAACAAUGGUUUUCAAACCUUUUAUCUGUGCACUGUAUUGUUUUUGGUGACUCCUGCUCAGCCUUUGGGUUGAAAAGGUCUGUCUCUGGCUUACCACGGACAGAAACGGUCACCGACACUUUUAAACCAUGUUUUGAAUCGAGUCUUGAAUUUGUAUUAAAAUGAAAAACUUUUGACAACGGAUCUCUUGGCUCUC
rnacentral:misc_RNA from 1 species